AGAAUACAGCAUCAUUGGAAAGGCAGUGUUUUCAUAUAAAAAGUGAAAUAGCAGCAUGUUCCAUUGUGGCCUAGGAAUAAAACAAUAGGAUGUUUGUGCAACCAACAGAAAAUCAGGCGACUUGGGGAACAGGAGGUUAACUGGGAAUUUACUCUCACUGUAUUUCAGCAGAGGCUGUGAACAGGGAACAAGAGUCCUCAUCCUAAAGAGUGGCUCGGCCUUGCCACUCAGAACCUACUCCCAGAAGGCACGGACCCUGUCUGCCGUCACUCCCAGUGCACCCUCUGACACACACAGAAGGCCAGGCACUUCCAGCCACUCCCCCACACAGAAGGCCAGGAACUUGGAAGGAGUUGAUGAGAGGGGUUUCCUGGCUUUCUGUCUUCCAGCUCUGCCUGAGGGGAGGGUAUGCUCCCCAACCGCAGGUCCAUGAGGGGCCUCCCAGGAAGCAGCUCGCUCGCUCUCUCCGAUCGCAGUCUCUCCUGGUGUAGUGAUGAUGCCGGAAUGCACACCCAAGAAAAGCAAAUCCACAGCAGACCAAAGCAACUCGGGGGUGCCCUAAAUCCCUCAGUUGGGCCAUCCCUAUUUCUCAGGAGCUGGAGAGAUAACUCUGUGACCUGUGGGAGUACACGGCUUCUCCCCAAACAUCCAGGACUCCCAGGCCAGUGUGGGCUUCCUGGGGUCCCUUGGUGCAGGUCCUGUCUCUGCUCCUCCUUUCUGUUUCCCAAUCUACGUGAAUCCACCAGAGAAAUUCAGCCUGUUUCUCAAACCGCACAUGGCCAUAACGGCCACACACAGCACCUGCGGUGAGGCAGCCUGGCACGGGGUCACAGGACGUGCAGGGGCCCCAGGAGCGGUCACGGUCACAUGGAGUACAGGAGUGACAUGAAGCAUAAUGGCCUCAUAGUUUAUGGUGAUCACAGACGUCCCAUGAUCACAUGACACAGGAGCCACGUGAAGUGUGGUGGACACAUGACACACAGGAGCCACGUGAAGAGUGGUGGACACAUGAAGUGUAGCCUCUCAUGUUACACAGUGGUCAGCACUUGGUGUCUCCCACGCGCCACACCAUUCUGUGACCACACCUCCCUGGCCCUUGUUCCCAAGGAGCUUCCCUUGUC
rnacentral:lncRNA from 1 species